rnacentral:lncRNA from 1 species
CAACAGACAUGGAUCGAGCAGUAAGGUAGACAGAGGUACUCGACAGGAGCCAAAGCUGCCAUUCCAAUUUAAUUGCUUGGCUCAACUGACCCGUGAAACAAGACUUUCCUCACUCCAAAAAUACCUGAAUUUGGAUGAGUUGCAGUCUCAGGAGAUUAAACGUUUCUGCUUCAAACAUCUAUGAAUUUGAGAAGAUCAGCUAAAAUGCGAAGUACAUCUCCUCCUGCCAAGACAUCCAGGAACGCCAGCCGUCCUUCCUCGGCUGCAGUGGAGGGACACGGACCCAAAAGGAACGGCCUUGCCAGGCGCAGCGUGGGAGCUGAAGGUACAGCACCUGCAAGAGCCAGCGUGCAGGGUCAGACAGCUCCUGGAAAACCUGCUCACUUCUCCUUUCGGCACACAAAAUGAGGAGGAACCCUCACUGCAAAGCCUGCCAUCCCACCCCAGGGUCCGCAGCAUCUCCUGGCAGGGAUGCCGGGGCAGGGGAGUUACAUGUGCGGGGAGAGGGAAGCGUUACUCCAUCCUGUGCUUUUCAAGUGGAUGAUUGAACUGGUUGGAUUUUUAAAUGCUAAAAGUACAACCGCUCACAGUCUUCCUUGAAUGAAAGGAAGCAUUGUGUAUGAAACACAGGAAGAAUUUCCUUUACUGUAACUUGUAGGGAGCAGAGGAAAUAAAAGCAGAACAGCAGCUAGAUGGAGGUCAGAUGAUCGUGUGAUUCAUACGGUGAUGCAAGUUAUCAAGUGCGCAGCUCAGUGCACCACCCAAUAAAACCAGAUGCCACCUAAGUACACAAAUAUCACUUACCUCCAGUCACUUACCCCACAUGGAAGUAGUGUCACUCAGAGCAGAAUGGCCUGGUUGUUUUUUUUUUUCCCAGUUUCCUACUAUGAAUUUAAAAAUCAGGGAAAGAUCUAUCAAGUAGGACAGUGAUGAUAUUGAGGCAGAAGCCAGUUUUUUAGAGUUUUAGACCUUACAUU